rnacentral:rRNA from 1 species
GAUGAACGCUGGCGGCGUGCUUAACACAUGCAAGUCGAACGAAGCACUUUAAUCGAUUUCUUCGGGUGAAGUUCCAUUUGACUGAGCGGCGGACGGGUGAGUAACGCGUGGGUAACCUGCCUCAUACAGGGGAAUAACAGUUUGAAAAGACUGCUAAUGCCGCAUAAGCGCACAGGGCCGCAUGGCCCGGUGUGAAAAACUCCGGUGGUAUGAGAUGGACCCGCGUCUGAUUAGCUAGUUGGUGAGGUAACGGCCCACCAAGGCGACGAUCAGUAGCCGACCUGAGAGGGUGACCGGCCACAUUGGGACUGAGACACGGCCCAAACUCCUACGGGAGGCAGCAGUGGGGAAUAUUGCACAAUGGGGGAAACCCUGAUGCAGCGACGCCGCGUGGAUGAAGAAGUAUUUCGGUAUGUAAAGUCCUAUCAGCAGGGAAGAAAAUGACAGUACCUGACUAAGAAGCCCCGGCUAACUACGUGCCAGCCGCCGCGGUAA